AUUGAACGCUGGCGGCAUGCCUUACACAUGCAAGUCGAGCGCUCACCUUCGGGUGGGAGCGGCGCACGGGUGAGUAACACGUGGGAACCUACCUUGAAGUACGGAAUAACUGAGGGAAACUUCAGCUAAUACCGUAUACGCCCUACGGGGGAAAGAUUUAUCGCUUCAAGACGGGCCCGCGUUGGAUUAGCUAGUUGGUGAGGUAAUGGCUCACCAAGGCAACGAUCCAUAGCUGAUUUGAGAGAAUGAUCAGCCACACUGGGACUGAGACACGGCCCAGACUCCUACGGGAGGCAGCAGUGGGGAAUAUUGGACAAUGGGCGCAAGCCUGAUCCAGCCAUGCCGCGUGAGUGAUGAAGGCCUUCGGGUUGUAAAGCUCUUUCAGAUGGGACGAUGAUGACGGUACCAUCAGAAGAAGCCCCGGCUAACUUCGUGCCAGCCGCCGCCGUAAAAC
rnacentral:rRNA from 1 species